rnacentral:rRNA from 1 species
GACGAACGCUGGCGGCGUGCUUAACACAUGCAAGUCGAACGGAAAGGCCUCUUUCGGGGGGUACUCGAGUGGCGAACGGGUGAGUAACACGUGAGUAACCUGCCCUUGACUUUGGGAUAACUUCAGGAAACUGGGGCUAAUACCGGAUAGGAGCUCCUGCUGCAUGGUGGGGGUUGGAAAGUUUCGGCGGUUGGGGAUGGACUCGCGGCUUAUCAGCUUGUUGGUGGGGUAGUGGCUUACCAAGGCUUUGACGGGUAGCCGGCCUGGGAGGGUGACCGGCCACAUUGGGACUGAGGUACGGCCCAGACUCCUACGGGAGGCAGCAGUGGGGAAUAUUGCACAAUGGGUGGAAGCCUGAUGCAGCAACGCCGUGUGCGGGAUGACGGCCUUCGGGUUGUAAACCGCUUUCGCUCAUGACGAAGCUUUGUGUGACGGUAGUGGGUAAAGAAGCACCGGCUAACUACGUG